UCCGAAUGCCAAUUAAUUUAACUUGGGAGUCAGAACAUGGGUGAUAAGGUCCGUGUUCGAAAGGGAAACAGCCCAGACCACCAGCUAAGGUCCCAAAAUAUAUGUUAAGUGGUAAAGGAUGUGGCGUUGCCCAGACAACUAGGAUGUUGGCUUAGAAGCAGCCAUCAUUUAAAGAGUGCGUAAUAGCUCACUAGUCGAGUGACACUGCGCCGAAAAUGUACCGGGGCUAAACAUAUUACCGAAGCUGUGGAUUGUCCUUUGGACAAUGGUAGGAGAGCGUUCUAAGGGCGUUGAAGCAUGAUCGUAAGGACAUGUGGAGCGCUUAGAAGUGAGAAUGCCGGUGUGAGUAGCGAAAGACGGGUGAGAAUCCCGUCCACCGAUUGACUAAGGUUUCCAGAGGAAGGCUCGUCCGCUCUGGGUUAGUCGGGUCCUAAGCUGAGGCCGACAGGCGUAGGCGAUGGAUAACAGGUUGAUAUUCCUGUACCACCUAUAAUCGUUUUAAUCGAUGGGGGGACGCAGUAGGAUAGGCGAAGCGUGCGAUUGGAUUGCACGUCUAAGCAGUAAGGCUGAGUAUUAGGCAAAUCCGGUACUCGUUAAGGCUGAGCUGUGAUGGGGAGAAGACAUUGAGUCUUCGAGUCGUUGAUUUCACACUGCCGAGAAAAGCCUCUAGAUAGAAAAUAGGUGCCCGUACCGCAAACCGACACAGGUAGUCAAGAUGAGAAUUCUAAGGUGAGCGAGCGAACUCUCGUUAAGGAACUCGGCAAAAUGACCCCGUAACUUCGGGAGAAGGGGUGCUCUUUAGGGUUAACGCCCAGAAGAGCCGCAGUGAAUAGGCCCAAGCGACUGUUUAUCAAAAACACAGGUCUCUGCUAAACCGUAAGGUGAUGUAUAGGGGCUGACGCCUGCCCGGUGCUGGAAGGUUAAGAGGAGUGGUUAGCUUCUGCGAAGCUACGAAUCGAAGCCCCAGUAAACGGCGGCCGUAACUAUAACGGUCCUAAGGUAGCGAAAUUCCUUGUCGGGUAAGUUCCGACCCGCACGAAAGGCGUAACGAUUUGGGCACUGUCUCAACGAGAGACUCGGUGAAAUCAUAGUACCUGUGAAGAUGCAGGUUACCCGCGACAGGACGGAAAGACCCCGUGGAGCUUUACUGUAGCCUGAUAUUGAAAUUCGGCACAGCUUGUACAGGAUAGGUAGGAGCCUUUGAAACGUGAGCGCUAGCUUACGUGGAGGCGCUGGUGGGAUACUACCCUAGCUGUGUUGGCUUUCUAACCCGCACCACUUAUCGUGGUGGGAGACAGUGUCAGGCGGGCAGUUUGACUGGGGCGGUCGCCUCCUAAAAGGUAACGGAGGCGCUCAAAGGUUCCCUCAGAAUGGUUGGAAAUCAUUCAUAGAGUGUAAAGGCAUAAGGGAGCUUGACUGCGAGACCUACAAGUCGAGCAGGGUCGAAAGACGGACUUAGUGAUCCGGUGGUUCCGCAUGGAAGGGCCAUCGCUCAACGGAUAAAAGCUACCCCGGGGAUAACAGGCUUAUCUCCCCCAAGAGUUCACAUCGACGGGGAGGUUUGGCACCUCGAUGUCGGCUCAUCGCAUCCUGGGGCUGUAGUCGGUCCCAAGGGUUGGGCUGUUCGCCCAUUAAAGCGGUACGCGAGCUGGGUUCAGAACGUCGUGAGACAGUUCGGUCCCUAUCCGUCGUGGGCGUAGGAAAUUUGAGAGGAGCUGUCCUUAGUACGAGAGGACCGGGAUGGACAUACCUCUGGUGUACCAGUUGUCGUGCCAACGGCAUAGCUGGGUAGCUAUGUGUGGACGG
rnacentral:rRNA from 1 species